UUGGGAGUGAUGAGAAUGGACAGGAUUAGGAAUACACAUAUCAGAGGGACAGGUCAGGAUGGAGCCACCAGGCAGGAGGAGAAGAGGGAGACCAAAGAGGAGGAUUAUGGAUGUGCUCAGGGAGGAUAUGCAGGCGGUUGGUGUGAUAGAAGAAGAUACAGAGGACAGGAUGUGAUGGAAACGAUUGAUCUGCUGUGGCGUCCCCUAAUGGGAGCAGCUGAAAGACGAAGAA